rnacentral:rRNA from 1 species
GGGGAAUUUUGGACAAUGGGCGAAAGCCUGAUCCAGCCAUGCCGCGUGAGUGAAGAAGGCCUUCGGGUUGUAAAGCUCUUUCAGCCGGAAGGAAAUCGCGCAGGAUAAUACUCUGCGUGGAUGACGGUACCGGAAGAAGAAGCACCGGCUAACUACGUGCCAGCAGCCGCGGUAAUACGUAGGGUGCGAGCGUUAAUCGGAAUUACUGGGCGUAAAGCGUGCGCAGGCGGUUAUGUAAGACAGAUGUGAAAUCCCCGGGCUCAACCUGGGAACUGCGUUUGUGACUGCAUAACUAGAGUACGGCAGAGGGAGGUGGAAUUCCGCGUGUAGCAGUGAAAUGCGUAGAUAUGCGGAGGAACACCGAUGGCGAAGGCAGCCUCCUGGGCCAGUACUGACGCUCAUGCACGAAAGCGUGGGGAGCAAAC